rnacentral:misc_RNA from 1 species
AUGAUUGGUGGACUGUUCUUAAGGUAAAAUUUCAUUGCUUUUCUUUUAUUGAUUGGAACUUCUAAAUAUUCUCUCAUUAGCUCAUUCAAUUAUUCUUUUUCUGUGAUAUAACUUUAGAUUUGUUGUUUGGUGGUGUUGGAACUUUUACAUGGCAUUCCUUUACUCCAGGGGUGGUUACCCAGUAACUUCAUCAAUUUGAUGGUCUCUCCUUCUCCUUCUUCUCCUGCUCUUUUGGUUCUUCCUCAGUUCCUCCUCUUCUUUUUCUUCUUCUUAGAAUUGAGGAGAGUGAUGAGUGAUUGGAUCUAAUAGUUACGCUGUUGAAUUUGUAUGGAAUGAAAAAAAAUCAAUUGAAAUUAUUGCAUGACGACUUUGAAUAUUAGUCUGUUCUUUUGAUAAAAGAGAGUUUUAUUAGAGAGUAAAGAAAUAAUGAUUCUUAAAGUUCUUGCAUUUCAAUUAGAACAGGAUACUAUGGUAUAGGCAACUCUGUGUCAUUUUUUUGGGAUUCCAAUGCAGGAGAGGCUGUUAUGUACCAGCUUGUGUUGUUUCAUGUAUAUUUAUCCUGGAUCAGUCAAUAUGGAUAUUUUAAUAUUAUAGGACCAUAUAAAUGCCUGUUACUCAGACUAAGAGGCUUUAAACAUUUGCUAUCAGGAAAAAAUUCAUUAAACGAUUGCUGUGUUGCAAAACCCUGAUAUCAUUAUUCAUAAUUGCAACUGCAAUUCAGAACCAUGAAUUUACCACCAGAAAUGUAGCCCAUCACCAAAGAAUUUUUUUUUUCUUGCAUCUUGAAAUGGAUUAGCAAUAGGUAUGUUGGCAAACAUGCUGUUUGUGGCAUAUGAAAAAAAGUACUUUAGACCAAAAAAAUGUCUGAAAAGUUGGCUUUUAGUCAGUGACUGAUAGAAUAUGAUACACAUAUUGGAGAUAAUAUCUGUAUUCACUAUAAUUUUUGGUAUUGAUCUUUUCAAGAACUGCAGACAAAAUAAAGCUUUAACUGUAGAGGGAACUUUAGCCUCCUUAAAUGUUGCUGGUUAGAGGAAAAUUGUUUGUAGGACUUGUGGGGGAGCUUCUCAAACUACUAAAAGUUGAAGUCCUUGUAUCAGACCCCUUAGAAAAGUGAAAAAAAGAAUAUAAAGUAACAAGUGGAGAUUAGUAGUUCCUCUUUUGUUAAUAUUUCUUAAAAAAUGAAAAUAAAUGGUUAGGGAGGUGAUAAAAGUGUAGAUUAUAAAAUCUUCAUAGAAAAAAGAGGAAAAUCCCUAAGAAACAAAUUUUCAAGGGCUCUUGUAGUUGUAGGUCCAUCCAGCCAGAUAUCUCUCUGAUGGAUUACUUGGGAAUAACAUCUGAUACAAUAUCUUAUCUGCGUCUCCUAUUUGGAGAUCUGAUGGAGUGAUGGGGAUUAUUAUCCUUAUCCCAUACUAGCAAUUGCAGUUCAAUCAUCAAUACUGG